rnacentral:lncRNA from 1 species
CUGUUGUUCCAAACAAAAAAAACGCAAAAAUAUAAUAUAAUUAUAUUUUUGUUUUAAAUAACUUUCCUUUGACCGACUCCAAUAAGACUUGCUGAGUAAGUCUCGUCUUGCCUAAACGCACGUGCCUGAAUAUAUAAUUGAAGCAAAUCUUGGCUCAGAUUUGAAAUAAAAAUUCUGCACGAAAACAGAGCUUCAGUAUGCUGUACUAUAAUGCUACAGCAUCUCAGUUCAGCAUCUGGCUGGUUGGCUUUUGCAAAAUGUAGCCAAUCAAAACACCAACAUG